GAUGAACGCUGGCGGCGUGCCUAAUACAUGCAAGUCGAACGCUGAAGGAGGAUCUUGCUCUUCUGGAUGAGUUGCGAACGGGUGAGUAACGCGUAGGUAACCUGCCUGGUAGCGGGGGAUAACUAUUGGAAACGAUAGCUAAUACCGCAUGACAACAGUUAUUGCAUGAUAACUGUUUAAAAGGGGCAACUGCUCCACUACCAGAUGGACCUGCGUUGUAUUAGCUAGUUGGUGAGGUAACGGCUCACCAAGGCGACGAUACAUAGCCGACCUGAGAGGGUGAUCGGCCACACUGGGACUGAGACACGGCCCAGACUCCUACGGGAGGCAGCAGUAGGGAAUCUUCGGCAAUGGACGGAAGUCUGACCGAGCAACGCCGCGUGAGUGAAGAAGGGUUUCGGAUCGUAAAGAUCGGUUGUAAGAGAAGAACGAGUGUGAGAGUGGAAAGUUCACACUGUGACGGUAUCUUACCAGAAAGGGACGGCUAACUACGUG
rnacentral:rRNA from 1 species